UUUCCCGCACCCGCGUCUAGGGUUUCUCUCUCGAACAUCGAUACUAACUUUCUCUCUGUCGAUUCGCGUUUGUUCUUACUGAUUCUUUGCAUAUAUAAGGGAUCUUACUGGAACUGGAGGAAUGCUAAUCGCCAUCGAUAAAAUGCACCAGCGGCGACAAAUCACACAUACGGCCGGUGUGAUCGAGUCCAAAUUUGUAAAGUCUGGAUGUUGAAUUGCGCGUAUGUUAUCUCUGACUGACUCUAGAGCGAGGGAUUCUUCGAUUGCAGUGUGAUAACUACAAGGUGGGUUGAUUUUAUUUUAUAUAGAGAGCUUCUUCUGGGUUGCUGCCAUGUGGAAGCCAUACAAACAAUUCCGGCUUUCUUCCUGUCAUACAAAACAGAUGCGCUGACAUGCUAGCAGUAAACAAUGGAUACUAGGCGCCAUGUUUGUCACACUGGAGCAUAUAGAUAGAUCCUAUGCACCUAAUAAUAUUAGGUUUAAUUUACAUAAUAU